UCCCUCGUAGCUCAGUUGGUAAAGAAUCUGCCUGCAACUCAGGAGACCCAGGUUCGAUCCCUGGGUUGGGAA
rnacentral:tRNA from 1 species